rnacentral:rRNA from 1 species
UAACGCGUAGGUAACCUGCCUUGUAGCGGGGGAUAACUAUUGGAAACGAUAGCUAAUACCGCAUAACAAUGGGUGACACAUGUCAUUUAUUUGAAAGGGGCAAUUGCUCCACUACAAGAUGGACCUGCGUUGUAUUAGCUAGUAGGUGAGGUAACGGCUCACCUAGGCGACGAUACAUAGCCGACCUGAGAAGGUGAUCGGCCACACUGGGACUGAGACACGGCCCAG